AGUUGUUCUGUCAGAGAGACAGUUGUCCGAUCAGAGGGGCAGUUGUCCCAUCAGAGGGGCAGUUGUCCCAUCAGAGGGGCAGUUGUCCCAUCAGAGGGGCAGUUGUCCCAUCAGAAGGGCAGUUGUCCCAUCAGAGGGGCAGUUAGCAGCUAACUAGGUGAGCAGGUUAGCGCAGGAUCAGCUGGAAAGAGGCUAACAUACUAUAAGCUAGGCUAAAGCUAAAAUAGCUGACUUGCUGACAAAAUGAUGAACUAAUCCCCCCUCUGUGUGUUCUAAUGGUUCUCUGUAUGUUCUAAUGGUUCUGUAUGUUCUAAUGGUUCUCUGUAUGUCCUAAAGGUUCUCUGUAUGUUCUAAUGGUUCUGUAUGUUCUAAUGGUUCUCUGUAUGUCCUAAAGGUUCUCUGUAUGUUCUAAUGGUUCUCUGUAUGUCCUAAAGGUUCUCUGUAUGUUCUAAUGGUUCUCUGUAUGUUCUAAUGGUUCUGUAUGUUCUAAUGGUUCUGUAUGUUCUAAUGGUUCUCUGUAUGUCAUAAAGGUUCUCUGUAUGUUCUAAAGGUUCUCUGUAUGUUCUAAUGGUUCUCUGUAUGUCCUAAAGGUUCUCUGUAUGUUCUAAUGGUUCUCUGUAUGUUCUAAUGGUUCUGUAUGUUCUAAUGGUUCUCUGUAUGUUGUAAUGGUUUCUUUUUCGGUGGUUCUAAGGUUCUCCUCCUACCUGAACAGGGUUGUCCUGCCCCCUCCUCCUCCUCCAUCUCUCUGUCCGUCGGUCAUGUGACGUCGCCUCACCUGCCUCCUCACCUGCCGCAGCGGGUCGGGCGCCCGACGCUCGCUGUCGCCGCAGCGACGAGAGAAGAA